rnacentral:rRNA from 1 species
AUUGAACGCUGGCGGAAUGCUUUACACAUGCAAGUCGAACGGUAGAGGGGGCAACCCCUUGAGAGUGGCGAACGGGUGAGUAAUAUAUCGGAACGUGCCCAGUCGUGGGGAUAACGUAGCGAAAGUUACGCUAAUACCGCAUACGAUCUAAGGAUGAAGGCGGGGGAUCGCAAGACCUCGCGCGAUUGGAGCGGCCGAUAUCAGAUUAGGUAGUUGGUGAGGUAAAGGCUCACCAAGCCAACGAUCUGUAGCUGGUCUGAGAGGACGACCAGCCACACUGGAACUGAGACACGGUCCAGACUCCUACGGGAGGCAGCAGUGGGGAAUUUUGGACAAUGGACGCAAGUCUGAUCCAGCCAUUCCGCGUGCAGGAUGAAGGCCCUCGGGUUGUAAACUGCUUUUGUACGGAACGAAAAGGUUUCUAUUAAUACUAGGAGCUCAUGACGGUACCGUAAGAAUAAGCACCGGCUAACUACGUGCCAGCAGCCGCGGU